UAAAGGGUUUUUAGGAUUUAGGGUUUUGGGCUUAAGAUUUUCUAGGGUUUUAUUAGGUUUAGAGGAAUUUUUAAGUUUAGGGCUUUAAAGGGUGUUUAGGAUAUUUAUGGUUUUUUUACGAUUAAGGGGUUCGUAGAGCUUAGGGUUUUUGAAAGUUUAGGGUUUAGGGGUUUUAAAUGUUUUUUAGGUUUUUUUUUAUUUCUUAAGUUCGACUCUUAGGGUUUAGCCCUAAGGUUUAGGGUUUCUUUGGGUAUAGAGUUGAACAUUUAGGGUUUCUUAGGAUUUAGGGUUGAAGGUCCAAGUUUUUUAUUUAAGGGUUUUUUAAGAUAUAAGGCUUAGGGAUUAAGUUUUUGUAGUAUUUUUAGGUUUAGAGUUUUUUUCGGUUUAGGAUUUUAAAAGGUUUUCAAGAUUUCUAUAAUUUUCUACGGUUUAGGGGUUCUUAGGGAUUAGGAUUUCUUUGAGCAUAGGACUUAGGAUUUUAGAUUUGGGGUUGUUUAGGGGUUAGGGGAUUUAAGGGAUUUUUUAGGUUUAGUGUUUUUAAAGGUGCUUUCAGGGUUUAGGAUUUCUUAGGGUUUAGGGUUUGUUGGUGUUUCAUAAGUCUUGGGGUUUCCCUAAGGCUGAGGGUUUAGUGUUUCUUAGGGUUUAUGAUUUAUGGUUUCUUAGGGGUUUCAAAUAUCUUAGGUUUAGGCUUGUAAAGGUUUUUAAAGGUGUUGAUCUAAUAUGCUUAUGAUAUGCCAACUCAAGGUUAGCUUGGGGUUACUCGUGAUCCUAGGUCCCGCGUUACGUCACGGGAGUAACCUCGGGGAGUGACAAAAACAAUGUCUGAAUUAAAGCCUCUAACUUACUAGAGAUACUGGGACAUGACCCCAACUAACUCUAGCAAAACAGAAAAUAAAAUGAAAGACAGAAUAUAAAACAUGUCAAUAGUCCUCGAAAAAUGAGGACUCACCACUGAUAUUGCUGAAUACGGAUCGGGAACCGAUCUUCGCAUGAUCCGAAUGCCGAGGACCUGUACCUACAUCCCGAGAAGAUGUCGCGUAGAGUAUGUCAGUACUUGAAAGGUACUGAGAAUGCAUGACAGGAUAAAGCUGAACAAAUAUAAAUAACAGAAUAGAGCAUAUUGAACAAUGGUAUAAUCUGAACAUGAUAAAUAAGAGUUUAGAUAUUUUGGUAAAGGUUCUUAGGUUAGGGUGUAAAGCUUAAGUUUUUCUUGGAUUUUUUUAGGUUAAGAGUUUUUUUUCGACUUAGGAUUCUUAAGGAUUUUUUAGGAUCAUUAAUGUUUUUUAUGGUUUAGGAGUUCUAAGGGCUUAGGACUUAGGGUUUUAGAUUAUGGAAUUUUUUAGGGUUUGUAAGGUUUGUUUUCGGGAUUUUUAGUUUUAGAGUUUUAAAGGUUAUUAGUGUUUUGUUUUUCUUAGAAUUUAGGGCUUCUUAGAGUUUCAUAAGGAAUAGGCUUGGGGGUUUAUCCCUAAGGUUAAGUGUUUAAGUUUCUUAGGGUUUGAGUUUAACAUUUAAGGUCUCCUAGUUUUUUUUUUGGGGUCAUUUAGGGUUUAUUGUUUUAGGUUUAGGGUUUUUCUAGUGUUUAGGGUUUAUGUUUGUUAGGUUUAAGAUAUUUUAGAGGUUUUUAAGGUUUAGAGUUUUUAAAGUUUUUUGUGUUGUUUUUUAGGGUUUAGGUUUUUGUUAGUGUUUUAUUGGGUUUAGGGUUUGGGGUUUUCUUAGAGUUUGGGUUUUUGGCUUACGAUUUAGGGUUUCUUAGAGUAAAGGAUUCAGGGUUUAAAGUUUGGGAUUGUGGGUUCCUUAGGUUUAGGAGUUUUAAAGUUCUUUUUUAAGAUUUUGGUUUUCUUAGUGAUAUUUAGGGUUUAGUUUUUUUUAGUGAUUUUUAGGGUUUAGGGUUUCAUAGGGUUUAGGAUUCUUUUAAAAUGAGUUUAGGGUAAAUUAUGGUGUAGGGCUUACUGUGUUUUAGGUUUAAGGUUUUUAGAGGUUUUAAAAGGGGUUUUUUUUUUGUUAGAGAAUAUAGGUUUAAAGUUUUUAAAGGUUUUUAAGGUUUCAUAGUGUUUAGGGUAUUAGGGUUUCUUAGGUCUAAGGUUUCUUAGGGUUUAGGGUUUAGGAUCUUAGGUUUUAAGGUAUUAGGGUUUAUAAGGGUUUAAGGUUUAGAGUUUCUUAGGGUUUAGUGUUUCUUAGAGUAUGAUAGGGUUUCCUGCUUUAGAGUUUAGGGAUUAGGGUUUUAGGUUUAAAGAUUAUUGUUUUUGAGUUUUUUAAGGGUUUAUGCUUAUGAUUUCUUAGGGCUUUUUAGGUUUAGAGUUUUAAAAGGUUUUUAGGGGUUUUAAGGGUUUCUUUAUGUUUAGGGUUAAGGCCAAAGGUUUUGGGUUUAGGCCCUAAGGUAUAGGGUUUAAGGUUUAGGGUUUCGGGUUUUAGGUUAAGAGUUUUUUUUAGGGUUUAUGGUUUUCUUUAGGUUUAUUAUAUUUAUGAUUAGGGUUUUAAAAUGUUUUAGGGUUUAUUAAGGUUUUUUAAGAAUUUAGAUUUCUUAAGAUUUAGGGUUACGUAGGAUUUAGGGCAUAGGAUUUUUUUAAGGCUUAGGGCUUUAAAGGGAUUUAUUUUUUCCCCCGAGUAUUAUAGUAUAAGGGGUUUUAAUGGAUUUGAGGGUAUAGGAUUUCUUAGUGUUUCAUAUGGUUUGAGGUUUAGGGUUUAUCCCUAUGGUUUAGAGUUAAGGAUUUAGAGUUUCUUAGGGUAUAGGAUUUAGCGUUUAUGCUUCCCUAGGGUUUGGGUUUUUAAAGGGUUUUUAGGAUUUAGGGUUUUGGGCUUAAGAUUUUCUAGGGUUUUAUUAGGUUUAGUGGAAUUUUUAGGUUUUGGGUUUUAAAGGGUGUUUAGGAUAUUUAUGGUUUUUUUACGAUUAAGGGGUUCAUAGAGCUUAGGGUUUUUAAAAGUUUAGGUUUUAGGGGUUUUAAAUGUUUUUUAGGGUUUUUUUUAUUUCUUAAGUUAGACUCUUAGGGUUUAGCCCUAAGGUUUAGGGUUUAGCCCUAAGGUUUAGGGUUUCUUUGGGUAUAGAGUUGAGCAUUUAGGGUUUCUUAGGAUUUAGGGUUGAAGGUCUAAGUUUUUUAUUUAAGGUUUUUUAAGGUUUAAGGCUUAGGGAUUAAGUUUUUGUAGUAUUUUUUAGGUUUAGAGUUUUUUUUCGGUUUAGGAUUUUAAAAGGGUUUUUCAAGAUUUCUAUAAUUUUCUACGGUUUAGGGGUUCUUAGUGAUUAGGAUUUCUUUGAGCUUAGGGCUUAGGAUUUUAGAUUUAGGGUUGUUUAGGGGUUAGGGGAUUUAAGGGAUUUUUUAGGUUUAGUGUUUUUAAAGGUGUUUUUAGGGUUUAGGGUUUGUUGGUGUUUCAUAAGUCUUGGGGUUUCCCUAAGGCUGAGGGUUUAGUGUUUCUUAGAGUUUAUAAUUUAGGGUUCCUUAGGGGUUUCAAAUAUCUUAGGUUUAAGCUUGUAAAGGUUUUUUAAGGUGUUGAUCUAAUAUGCUUAUGAUAUGCCAACUCAAGGUUAGCUUGGGAUUACUCGUGAUCCUAGGUCCCGCGUUACGUCACGGGAGUAACCUCGGGGAGUGACAAAAACAAUGUCUGAAUAAAAGCCUCUAACUUACUAGAGAUACUGGGACAUGCCCCCAACUAACUCUAGCAAAACUGAAAAUAAAAUGAAAGACAGAAUAUAAAACAUGUCAAUCAUCCUCGAAAAACGAGGACUUACCACUGAUAUUGCUGAAUACGGAUCGGGAAUCGAUCUACGCAUGAUUCGAAUGCCGAGGACCUGUACCUACAUCCCGAGAAGAUGUAGCGUAGAGUAUGUGUCAGUACCUUUCAAGGUACUGAGAAUGCAUGACAGGAUAAAGAUGAACAAAUAUACAUAACUAAAUAGAGCAUAUUGAACGAUGGUAUAAUCUGGACAUGAUUAAUAAGAGUUUAGGUAUUUGGGUAAAGGUUCUUAGGUUAGGGUUUAGAGCUUAAGUUUUUCUUGGAUUAUUUUAGGUUAAGAGUUUUUUUUCGACUUAGGAUUCUUAAGGAUUUUUUAGGAUCAUUAAUAUUUUUACGGUUUGGGAGUUCUAAGGGCUUAGGACUUAGGGUUUUAGAUUAUGGAAUUUUUUUAGGGUUUGUAAGGUUUGUUUCAGGGAUUUUUAGUUUUAGAGUUUUAAAGGUUAUUAGUGUUUUGUUUUUCUUAGGAUUUAGGGAUUCUUAGAGUUUCAUAAGGAUUAGGAUUGGGGGUUUAUCCCUAAGAUUUAGGGUUUAGGUUUCUUAGGGUUUGAGUUUAACAUUUAAGGUCUCCUAGUUUUUUUUUUGUGUCAUUUGGGGUUUAGUGUUUUUCUAUUUUUUUUUUGGGGUCAUUUAGGGUUUAGUAUUUUAGGUUUAGGGUUUUUCUAGGGUUUAGGGUUUAUGUUUGUUAGGUUUAAGAUUUUUUAGAGGUUUUUAAGGUUUAGAGUUUUUAAAGUUUUUUGUUUUGUUUUUAGGGUUUAGGUUUUUCUUAGUGAUUUUUUUUUUUAUUUUAUUUGAAUGACCCUUGAAGGGGUCAGGGGCUUAGCAACACCCCCAGGCCUUAGCAUAAAUAAAGCAAAAAAUUACAAGGAGGGGGGCUUAAACCUAACCUCCAAACCUAUGGUGGUUCUGUAGUCGACCUACCUAGAAAGGUUAGUCAACUCAUCCCCUUAUAAAAAAGGUGAACCAAGAGACUAAGCACCUAAGAGAGGACUCCUCUCGAAACAAAGAAUCUAGGAAGCAUAAAUAAGGUAGACUCUCCCUUUACAUCAAAAAGUAAACUCUAUACCUAUUCAAGAUUGCUAUACUUUUAUCUUAUAGCAAGGUUGAAAAGAUUGUUCUAAUCUAAAGGGGGCUCUUUGAUUCUUUUGAUUUUCCUUCUCCUGAAACUUGCCAUUCCAAGCAUAUCUAGUUGAUAGUAGGCCCUUGCUUCCCUUGGUAGUUGUUGAUUGUUGCAAUAUAUUUGAGGGCAUGUGAUUUUGUGACUUUGUUUUGAUAAUGAAUCAGCCACAUUAUUGGCUUCUCUGAGGAUGUGUUUGCUCCUAAAGUUGUUGGUUUGGUUGAUGAGCCUUUGAAUUUGUUGUAGCUGUGUGUUAAUGCUCCACGGAGGUUUAGCUUUAAGUGUGAUCCAAUCCACUAAUAAUUGCGAGUCCACUUCCAGAAUGACAUUCUUGUAGCCAAGGUGAAUCAGCCAGGACAUGCCAAAUACGGCUGCUCUUAAUUCAGCUAGGUUGUUCGAACCUUCUCCCAAGGGGGUAGCAAAAGCUAGAAUCAUUUCUCCGUCUUGGUUCCUUAUGAUGCCACCUGCUCCAAUUCUGCCCGGGUUAAUUAAUGCACUGCCGUCUGUGUUGAUUUUGACCCACUGAUCUGGAGGCUUUAUCCAUUUAACACAAGUAACUUUGAUGUCAUGAAUACAUCUUUCCCCCAGCUGAAACAGUUCCCUCCAGGUUGCCGGCCACUUGAUUUGGUGGAAUGUUGUUGUCAUGAGUUUUUAGAUGUCCUUAUAGAUGGCAUAUUUGACUCUACUGAUAUUAGAAUGUUUCCCUUCGUAUUUACUAGCACACCUAUUCUUCCAUAGGUUCCAACAAAUGAAUAUUGGUGUUGCUUGUAAUAAUAGCUUGUGUGCUGCAUUGUUAUGUUUGGUCGACCACCAUUGCAUGAUGAGUUGUGAUAUAGAGCUGUGAUCUGUGUUAACUCCAGUAGCUGCAGCAAAACUUUUCCAUACGCAGGUAGCAAAAUGUCCAUUAUUGAAGAUAUGUUCUAUGGUGUCCAGACCUGUCCUGUUACAACAACAAAAACAAUUUGCUCGCUCAAUGCCAAAGCUGAUUAGUUUUUCAUUAGUAGGUAUUUUACCACGCAAAGUUCUCCAUAAAAGAAAGGAAGCUUUAAAAGGAAUACUCUUAUGCCAACAGAAAUUAUUGAAUGCAGUCUUCGUCCUCUUCUCCCUUAUCUCGUUCCAUGCAGAUGAGCAGGUAAAGUUUCCAUCACUGUUAAGCUUCCAGCAGGCCUGGUCUGGGAUGUCGUGUUGGAUAUGAAGCUCGGUAGCUAAAAUAUUGGCGAGAUAGUUGUGAGGAGCUUGUUGAAUGAGCAUGUUCAAGUUCCACUGACCUUCAACCCAGAAUUCUGCUACCUUGGUGUUGUUGAGCCUAUUGCUGGCAGUGGAGUACUGAGCAAGAGGUCCAAUACCAAGCCAGUCGUCCCACCAGAAGGAACAAUUGCCUGAGUUAAGCUUCCACUGAAUGUGUUCCUCUACUUUAUGUUUAUUAUGCAUGAGAUGCUUCCAGGUCUAGGACUCUCCCGUGUCCCAUUUCUUACUAAUAGGAUUUGAUCUUUGGCAAUAUUUAGCUCUCAAAAAGUCUCCCCAAAGGGUCUACUUGGAUCUAAAACACCACCAUUGUUUGUAUUGGAAAGCUAUGCAAACAUCUUUGAGAUUCCUCAUGCCAACACCUCCCUCUUCAUAAGGAAAGCUUAAAUUUUUCCAAGAAGCCCAAUGGUAUUUUGUUUUUUCAUUCCUCCAUCCCCAGAAGAAGUCAGCCAUGAUGCUUUGGAUCUGUUUCAGAACUGUAAUAGGGGUGGUCACUGCUGAUAAUAGGUGAAUAGGUAGUGACUGUAAUACAUGUUUGAUUAGAAUUGCUCUGCCACCAUAGCUUAAAAGUUUAGUUUGCCAGCCUGUGAUUCUGCAUAAGACUUUGUUAAUAAGGUCAGAAAAAUAAAUAAUCCUAGGUCUACCAAUAAACACGGGGCAACCAAGAUAAGUAAGAGGCCCCGCUUUCUGGCUGAAACCAAUAGUUCUUCUAAUUCUGUCUCUAGUGCUGUUGAAGGCAUUAGGAUGAAACAUGAAGUGGCUUUUGUCAAUAUUAAUAAGCUGGCCUGAGGUCUCUUCAUAAGUCUUCAAAGUUUGCAUGAUGAGUUUGAGAGUUUUCUGCCUUCCAGAGGUGAAGAGUAUAAUGUCAUCAGCAAAGCUUAAAUGGUUCACUUGCGGACCUCUUGGUUCCAUAAAGAAACCAUGGUACUGCUGAUUGCUAUGGAGUCUGUUCAAGGAUCUGGAUAGGACCUCUGCACCUAAAAUAAAUAGGGCAGGGGAUAAGGGGUCCCCUUGUUUGAGACCUCUGGUGGAGUGAAGGAAGCCAUGUCUUUUGCCAUUGACAAUAAUAGAGUACCAGUUGUUAGCCAUGAUCCUCCAAACUAUAUCAAUAAAGACCUCAUCAAACCCCAUUCUUCUCAAAACCAAGCAUAUAUAGGACCAUGAGACUCUAUCGUAUGCUUUAGCCAUGUCCAAUUUAAUGAUCACAUUGCUCCCAAUAUUAGGCUUCUUAAUCUGGUGAAGAAUCUCUUGGGCCAACAUGAUGUUUUCUGAAAUGCUUCUCCCCUUGAUAAAACCUGAUUGGUUAAGAGAAACCAAGGUAGGUAGAAUGGGGCCAAGUCUAGAGCUCAUCAAUUUAGAUAUAAUCUUGCUAGUAAAGUUGCUUAAACUGAUGGGUCUAAACUCAGUGAUUUUAUUAGGAUUGUUCACCUUAGGUAGGAGAACAAUGCAAGAAUGGGAAAAGUAUUUGGGAAUCAUUUGCCCACAAAAAAAUGCUUGAAUAACACCAAAUAGAUCAUUCUUGAUAAUAUGCCAACAUUUUUGGAAGAAGUGCCCAUUCAUCCCAUCAGGACCAGCUGCAGAAUUAGGGUUCUUAGAGAAAACCAUUUCCCUCAAUUCUUCCAUAGUAGGCAUGAUGAUAAGGUUAGCAUUUUGCUCCUGAGUGACCAUCCUGGGGAUACAAUUGAUAGCAUUUUCAUUUAUAGCUCUGUCUUGUCCAGUGAAAAUUUUGUUGAAAUGAUCACAGGCAGCUUCUGCAAUGUUGUCAUCUCCCUGUAUCCACUCUCCUUCCUCACUGAUAAGUUUGUGAAUAAACAGCCUUCUUCUCCUUCCUCUGAUCAGUGAGUGAAAGUAUUUCGUGUUAGCAUCGCCUUCCUUGAACCAUUGUAAUUGAGUUUUUUGUUUCAAAAUGGAGUCUUCCAUUUUUAGGAAUCUAAUAUAUUCUGCAUUGAGUUUAUGGAGAAUUGUCCUGUUAUUUUCUGUGUGAUCUUGAAUAAGACUCUCUUCAGCAAUCUUGACCUUCUCCUCAUACUCCUUGACUUUAAGAAAGAUAUCUUCAAAUUCCCCUUUGGACCAAGAACUAAGAGUGGUGGACAGCCUUUUCAAUUUCUGAUGAAAUUUCCACAUAUUGUUGCCCUCUACAGUUCUGUUCCAACAUGCUUUCACUGUGUCUAGGAAAUUAGGUUGAUCAGUCCAGCAAUUGAGGAAUUUAAAAUAUCUUAUGUGAUUUUCUUCUCUAGGACACAUUUCCAUCAGUAAUGGGCAGUGGUCUGAUCCUACAGAAGAUAGGUGAGUGAUGGUAGUUUGAGGCAUGAUUUCCAACCAGCUAUCAUUAACCAUGGCCCUGUCCAACCUUUUCCAGAUUCUGUUCUGUAUACCCCUUUUAUUUGACCAAGUGAACUUCUGGCCACUGAAGCCUAAAUCAAUAAGUCCACAGGCUUCAGUCACAGCAAUAAAGUCUAAACUCUUCCUCAUGUUAUAUGGUAUCCCUCCCAGCUUUACCUCAAUAGAAGUAAUGACAUUGUAGUCACCUACUGAGCACCAAGGUUUGGUGGUUUCAGUAGAAUGGUACAUCAUUCUAUCCCAUAGGGUCUUCUGAGAUGAUCCUUGCACUUGGCAUACACAAAGGUGGUGAUGAAUUGAUUCUAAAUUUCAUUGUGACCAAUCUCACAAGUAAUUUGUUGUUCAUCUUCCUCAAUUACUACACAAUCAAUGUCCUUAUCCAAAAGAGCCAAAUUUUGCCAUUUCGAUUACUCACAGCAUGUCCAUGGCCAAUUGGUUUUAAAACUUUGGAUCUGAAUAGUAUCCGAGAAUGGUUCUAAAAUAGCAAUGAUGGAAAGUUGGUGCACCUUAAUUAGCAUCUUGAUUCUUUCCAUUACUCCUUGAGUGUUGAUCCCCCUCACAUUCCAAAUAAUUGUACUAAUCAUUGGGAAGAUCUGGAGGAAAAGAGUCUAGUAUUUGGGCUGCCAGCAGUGACAGUGUUGAUAUCUUGCUUUUGAAUUGGAAUUCAUCAUGGUGCAGUCCCCUGGGAGAUAAUCCUUAGGUAUCAGCCACAUGUUGAAUCUCUUCUUCCAGUCCUUUAUCAGGUGAAGGACUAAAAGCUUUUAUCAAUAGCUCACUGGUCUCAUCAUCCUCAUCAGGAUCCUUAAGAGAUUGAUAAUCCCCAUCCAGUUCAUCUUCUGAAUUAUCAACAGCAUAUUCAUCGAUGACUGGACCUUUGUUUAUUUGGCACUUUUCUGGUGAUUUAUCAGGAGGCACAUUAAGAGGUAUGGUCAUAUAUUGUGCCUGCAGAGGAUUAAUAUCCAUUCCCAUCUGUUCAUUUACCAUAAUAAAUUUCUUGCACGUUUCCCCAUCUGUUUGCUGCUCCCUCUGUUCAUUUUUAUCCUGCUGUUGAUUUUGUCUCUUUUUUUCAGCUUCUCUCCUUUUUUUGCUAGGUUUGUUCUUGCUUUUGGUGAUCUGCUCCUGAUUGCUAGUACUAGCCUUUGAUCCCAUAUCUUUUGCCAUAGCUCCCUUGCUUUGUGUAGUUGUAUUUCCUGUCUCACUGUGGCUUUUGUUUUUGCUAUUUUUGUUGGUGUUUUGCUUCUCCUUUUCUGAUCUGUUCUGUUGUUGUACCUGCUGUUGAUUUGGACUCUGUUGUUGACUAGUGGUAGCAGGGGUUCUAAGGUCAUUCCUAUGGUCAAUGUGAAACCCCUCAUGCAUAACAUGAGUCAAAUUCCCCCCUUUGGACACCCCUUCCUGCAAGUUAGUUUGUUUCUCCUGACAUCCCCCAUCCAUCCCUCCUUCAACUUCAACAACAUUAUUAAGAUGAGAAUUAUUGGGGCAUGUGGGGGUUGGGAGCAUUGAGUCAAUACCUGUGCUUUUGUUGUUUGUUUUGUUUCCUGCCUGCUGGACUUGAAUUCUUUGGUUAUGGUCUGCUUUAGACCUUCUUUGUAGUCCCUGGGUUGUUGUCUCUUCUUUACUAUUGUGCUCCUGGAUAUCUUCAUUGAGUUUCUCCUGCAUGGUAAGAUUAGUAAAAGAGUUAUGAUUAGAGGUGUUACCUGUACCUGUUUGCUGAGUUAUGAUUUGUGGUUGUUCUUUUGACAUUUUGUUUUUUGGUGAGGUUGGUCUCCACAUUGUCUUUUGUAUUCUUUCCUCCUGCUGCUUAUUGUUUUUUCUUCUUGGCACCUGCCAUUCUCCUUCCGUUUGCUGCUCAGCUUGUUGUUGAUUAUUCUUUUCCCUAGAGUUUUGGUGUUGCUGCUCCUCUUGAUCCUUUGUCUUCAUUUGCUUGUGUUCAUUUCCUUGUUGCCUUUGCUCUCCUUCCUACAAGCUUUUCAUUUCUGUUCCCAAUUCUUUCCUUCAUUUGAAAUCCUCAUCCCUUAUUUUGAAGUUACAAUCAUCUAUUAUGUGACCCUGAUGUUUGCAGUAAGUACAGUAGGGUGGGAUAUUUUCAUAUUCGAUAGGUUGCCAUCUUCCAAUGGUGAGGUCUUCAUCAUCCAAUCCAAUCCAAACAUGUCUAGGUCUAGUCUUUGUAAGGUCCACUUGGACUUUAACCUUGGCCAUGCUAGCCCUGGUUCUCUUGAUGGAAGCUGUAUCUAAGUAUAGGACAUUGCCCACAGAUUCAAGUAGGGGUGUGAUGAACUCUUUUUUGAAGCAGUGCCAAGGCAAUCCUGGUAGGAGAACCCAUAUAGGAACAAUGGGUGUUCCCUCCUCAGGUCUAAAGUUGGGAGUCCAAGCUUGUAUUCUCAUAAGUUUGCCCUCAAUAGUCAUUCUUUGUUGUGUCCAUACAGUGUUAUAAUCCAAUUCAUUGUCCAAGUCGAUAAACACAUGCCUAGCAUUAUAGUGGGCAAUAUUGACCCCCCCAUUCAGCUGAGUUUGUAGGAUGAAGCUUUUCCUUAUGAGUUCUAUUUUCGGCAUGGUGGUACUGAAUUUACCUAUAAGGGUGUACUUACAAUCCACAGCCAAUUUGUUCAUGAAGUCAUCCAUGUCGUAGAUCACUGCAGGUUGGUCUUGCUUGGUGGUAUGUCUGGGGGAAACCAGCUCUAUGGAGGUAGCUUGUGUAGUAUGGAUUUGUCUAAGUCUUGCAGCCAGUGUUUGUACCACAGUAUAAGGGGGCAGGUUCUGUACGCUGGUCCUGUUUGGUUUUCUGGUUCUCGUUGGUAUUGCUGGGGCCAUUGGAUUCGUUUGGAGGAUUAAUUUGCUGAUCUUUUUGGUUGUAAGUUGUAAGUCGUGUGUCUAUCAAAAUUACUAGAAAUUUUAGGAAACUCUCUAUGAUAAUUAUUGGGUUCAGAGUUCCCUCCAUGAUCAGAUAAAGGAGCUUGACCUUUGUUUUUCUCAUUACUCUUAUUUCGUUCAACCUGCUGUUGGGAUUCCAAGUUCCCCCUGCUCUGUUCCAGAUCAUUCAGUAUAUCAUUCUUUUGUCUCUUUGCACUAGCAGUCACAUGAUCAUCCCUACUACUCAAGUUGACAACAUUUCUAUUCAAGUUAGGAUGAGAAAACUUACCUGCUUGAGUGCCACCCUCACGCGGAUUUUUUCUUGGUGCAUUAUUGUCUGCUGCUUGAAGUUCCUGCCUGUGAUCAUGAUCAAAUUUAGUAUUGUAGUUAGUGUUCAUACCUGGUCUUUGUUGUCCUCCAUUGCUUGGGAUUGUGUCCGAUGGUUUGACUCCAAAUGAGAAUUGUGAUGAGCUUUCCACUUCAAUUACUUCCAGAGUUGUCGACUUUGUAUUCCCAUGUUGAUCAUUUUGGUCUUGGCUUAGACUUGUGUCUCCUUGCUUCGAAUUCAUAGCUAAUUUUUGUGUCUCCAUUGAUUGCAGGUCUUGUUUUUUACCAUUGGGACCUUCAUGGUCUUGAGAAAAUGUCCCCUGAUGAUUUGCUUCAGUUUUUCCAUUGAGUUCUUCAACUUCAACUUGUUGUUUGGUUGUAGAUUUAUCAAAACUUGCCUGAAUUACAUCUUGGUGGUGAUCUUGAGGUAUAUUGAUGGGUAUGUUAGUAAGAUGGACCUCUUCCUCCAUCGAAUAAUUCCCAGUAGCAGUGCCACCGUCACUGUUCAUUUUUUCGGCUAUUUGCUCACCGGAGUUCAUGUUCCCGGCGACUGAGCCGUCCAUUUUACUUGAAAUUGCAGUGAGGUGUACCUCUUCAACAUGUGAGAAAUCCCCAGUGGUCAAUUCGCCAUGAAAUUGGCGUGAAGGUGGACGAAUCUGAAGGCGGCGCUCAAGCGAUUUUUUGGAACUUUUCCCAGAAUUCAUCUCCUCAGUUCUCUCAAUUGGGGAGGUGGAAUCACAUGAUUUUUUAGUAUGUUGUAGCCUUUGAGGAGGAGAAUCAUCCCCACUAAACAACUUUCGAUGAAUCACCUCAUCGCGAUCUGUGGAAAUAAUUUUUUGAAUCCCGUCCAACUCCAUUUCUGAAAUCGCGAUAUGCAUCGCUUCAUUGUUUUGCGAAUUCGUGGAGUUGUAGGUUGAAUUGGAAGACGAUUCAUGAUGGGUUUUGUUCGUCUGUUCAAGGCGCCUCUGCUUACCUAGGUUCGGCAGCCUAAAGAGGCCCACCGGCGGCUCACGCGCCAUUCCGGCUCGUGAACUAGCCGUUGGAGCUGUACCUGCUGUGUAAAUUUUUUUGAGAGUUCCGGGUAGAGAGGGAAAAUAGAGAGAGAAAAAAAUUGAGAAAUGAGGAAGCGAUCUUAGUGUUUUUUUGGGUUUAGGGUUUGGGGUUUUCUUAGAGUUUGGGUUUUGGCCUACGAUUUAGGGUUUCUUAGGGUUAAAGGAUUCAGGGUUUAAAGUUUGGGAUUGUGGGUUCCUUAGGUUUAGGAGUUUUAAAGUUUUUUUAAGGUUUUGGUUUUCUUAGUGAUUUUUAGGGUUUAGGGUUUCAUAGGGUUUAGGAUUCUUUUAAAAUGAUUUUAGGGUAAAUUAUGGUGUAGGGCUUACUGUGUUUUAGGUUUAAGGUUUUUAGAGAUUUUGAAAGGGGUUUUUUUUUUGUUAGAGAAUAUAGGUUUAGAGUUUUUAAAGGUUUUUAAGGUUUCAUAGGGUUUAGGAUUUUAGGUUUUAAGGUAUUUGGGUUUAUAAGGGUUUAAGGUUUAGAGUUUCUUAGGGUUUAGUGUUUCUUAGAGUAUGAUAGGGUUUCCUGGUUUAGAGUUUAGGGCUUAGGGUUUUAGGUUUAAAGAUUAUUUUUUUUGAGUUUUUUAAGGGUUUAUGCUUAUGAUUUUUUAAGGGUUUUUAGGUUUAGAGUUUUAAAAGGUUUUUAGGGUUUUAAGGGUUUUUAGGUUUAGAGUUUUAAAAGGUUUUUAGGGUUUUAAGGGUUUUUAGGUUUAGAGUUUUAAAAGGUUUUUAGGGUUUUUAAGGGUUUCUUUAUGUUUAGGGUUAAGGCCAAAGGUUUAGGGUUUAGGCCCUAAGGUAUAGGGUUUAAGGUUAAGGGUUUCGGGUUUUAGGUAAAGAGUUUUUUUUCGGGUUUAUAGUUUUCUUUAGGUUUAUUAUAUUUAUUAUUAGGGUUUUAAAAUGUUUAAGGGUUUAUUAGGGUUUUUUAAGAAUUUGGAUUUCUUAUGAUUUAGGGUUACGUAGGAUUUAGGGCAUGGGAUUUUUUUAAGGCUUAGGGUUUAGGUUUUCUUAGGGUUUAGGAUUUCUUAGUGUUUCAUAUGGUUUGAGGUUUAGGGUUUAUCCCUAUGGUUUAGAGUUAAGGAUUUAGAGUUUCUUAGGGUAUAGGAUUUAGCAUUUAUGAUUUCUUAGGGUUUGGUUUUUUAAAGGGUUUUAGGAUUUAGGGUUUUGGGCUUAAGAUUUUCUAGGGUUUUAUUAGGUUUAGAGGAAUUUUUAGGUUUAGGGUUUUAAAGGGUGUUUAGGAUAUUUAUGGUUUUUUUACGAUUAAGGGGUUCUUAGAGCUUAGGGUUUUUAAAAGUUUAGGGUGUAGGGGUUUUAAAUGUUUUUUAGGGUUUUUUUUAUUUCUUAAGGUAGAC
rnacentral:lncRNA from 1 species